GACGAACGCUGGCGGCGUGCCUAAUACAUGCAAGUUGAGCGGUGAAGGUUGGUACUUGUGCCAACUGGGUGAGCCGCGCACGGGUGAGUCACGCGUGGGAACUCUGCCUUUGAGCGGGGGACCACAUUUGGAAACGAAUGCUAAUACCGCAUAAAAACUUGAAACACAGGGUUGAAGUUUGAAAGAUGCCAUUGCAGCACUCACAGAUGAUCCCGCGUUGUAUUAGCUAGUUGGUGGGGUAAAGGCUCACCAAGGCGAUGACACAUAGCCGAACUGAGAGGGUGGGCGGCCACAGUGGGACUGAGACACGGCCCAAACGGCUUCGGGAGGCAGCAGUAGGGCAGCGUCGGGCAGGGGUGAAAGUCUGAGCGAGCAACGCCGCGGGAGGGAAGAAGGUUUUCGGAUCGUAAAACUCUGUUGGUAGAGAAGAACGUUGGUGAGAGUGGAAAGCUCAGCAAGUGACGGUAACUACUCAGAAAGGGACGGCUAACUACGUG
rnacentral:rRNA from 1 species